CGAAUCCAAAGCUCACAGACGCCGCGCUAGUCCGCGAAACACCGUCACCGAAACGCCAUGCACGUGCGCGCGCGUCCGUUUUGACAACAAUUGGAUGUUUUGAGUUUAGGUCGUCGUCGUCACCGUCGUUGAUCCACGUACGCCGUCGCGAUUAUUUGAAUAGUAUUUUCGAAGCAAAAUUAUUGUAGUAAUUAGUCAACCAAAAAAAUUGAAAUAAAUUCAAUAAAAUCGCACUCGGCCGGGGCGCGCGCGCGCGCAAUCGUAUCGUUGUCGUCGUCGUCGUCGUUGUCGCACUCGCGAGGUUUCUGUACACAAUAUUCUGACAUCCGCACAUCGCACACGCUUAAUAAAUAAUAAUUUAUUAUAUUAUAUUGUUCGCCAUUCGAGAAACCCUAGUGAUGUAGUUGUUGGAACAAACAUAGAAAUGGUUUUUUAUUCCGUCGUAGAUCAUUCGUGAAAAUUUACGAAAACAUAUUAUGUAUAAAAUUAUCGUUUUGGAUGUUUGAGUAACAUAUCUACCCCGAUUCGAGCUACGUGGCGAUAUGCCAUUGUUUUCUGGAAGUAUCUGCGGUGGUGCUUACGAUCGUAUUAUUAUAUUAUGGUAACGAGAACUAGAUGAUCUUAAAUGGGUGUUACGGUUAAGAGCCUGUGGCGCGGUGAUUAUGGUAGUGAACAAAUCUGCGGGCGGUCGUUCGCUCUCGCUGAGCACAACUGCCAACGGCACUGCUGCAGCGGUGGCGGGUAACCUGCAGUCCGGUGUACCGUUUCUGCCCAAAAGCCCAAGCUUUCAUAGUGGUUUGGAUCUGCUUGCUGACCGUGAAAAAUCUCCAAUCAUUAUGUUUUGCGAUCCAACAAUGCACUUGCCUAGACUUCACGAAGCCAGUGCGUCUGAAAGAGAACAGUUACUUAUUCAGAAAAUGCAACAGUGCUGUGUCUUAUUUGACUUUAUUUCGGAUCCACAGUCUGAUCUAAAAUGGAAGGAAAUCAAGCGAGAAACAUUACAUGAAAUGGUAGAUUAUUUGUCAUCUAACCAUGGGAGUGUACUUACUGAAGCUAUAUACCCUGAAGCUGUUAGAAUGUUUGGAGUAAAUCUAUUUCGUAGUCUGCCUCCAUCAAGCAAUCCAAAUGGUGCAGAGUUUGAUCCAGAGGAGGAUGAACCUCUAUUAGAAGCAGCUUGGCCUCAUUUACAACUGGUAUAUGAGUUCUUUCUAAGGUUUUUAGAGUCUCAAGAUUUUCAGCCCCAUAUAGCAAAAAACUAUAUUGAUCAGAAAUUUGUUCUUCAGUUGUUAGAGCUUUUUGAUUCAGAAGAUCCACGAGAGAGAGACUUUUUGAAAACUAUACUGCAUCGUAUUUAUGGUAAAUUUUUAAGUUUGCGAGCGUAUAUACGAAAACAGAUAAACAACAUAUUCUACAGUUUUAUUUAUGAAACAGAACAUCAUAAUGGCAUUGCAGAGCUUUUAGAAAUUUUAGGAAGUAUUGUCAAUGGUUUUGCAUUGCCUUUAAAAGAGGAGCACAAAGUAUUCUUGCUAAAAGUUCUAUUGCCGUUACAUAAAGUGAAAUCAUUAUCUGUGUAUCAUCCACAAUUGGCUUAUUGUAUUGUACAGUUCCUUGAAAAAGAUCCAUCUCUUACAGAACCAGUUAUCAGAAGUUUAUUAAAGUUUUGGCCUAAAACACAUUCCCCAAAAGAAGUCAUGUUUCUCAAUGAAUUAGAAGAAAUAUUGGAUAUAAUUGAACCAUUGGAAUUUCGAAAAGUGCUAAAACCAUUAAUACACCAAUUAGCUAGAUGUGUCUCCAGUCAACAUUUUCAAGUUGCAGAAAGAGCACUUUACUUUUGGAACAAUGAGUACAUAAUGUCACUGAUGUCUGAGAAUGUUGAUGAGAUUUUACCAAUCAUGUUUCCAGUGUUAUACAAAAAUUCUAAAACUCAUUGGAAUAAAAAUAUACAUGGUUUAAUGUACAAUGCAUUAAAAAUAUUCACUGAAACUAAUCCUGUACUAUUUCAUACAUGUACACAACAAUUUAAAGAAGAUAGGAAGACUGAAGUGGACAAGUUAAAAAAACGAGAUGAAAAGUGGCAUCGAGUUGAAGAGUUGGCUAAAAGGAAUCCCAAUUUUACAGUAUCCAUUGAUAGUAGUUUGUCAUAUUAUACUGAUUUUGCAAGGUCGCCAAUUAAUGAUUUAGACCCAACUAUUGAUUUGAAAAAUUUAGAAGAGGAUACAAAGUAUCAUAUUGAUACAGAUAACCGUAAAAAUCGAAAAGAAAAACCUUUAUUGAGACGUAAAUCUGAAUUACCACAUGACACAUACACUUUGAGGGCAUUAAAUGAUCAUAAGAGAGCUGAUGAAUAUCUAGCUACACCACCUGAUGUUAAUAAAUGCUAGCCAAUCUUUUCAAUUGUGAUGACCCUUAUUAUUUCUAUACUCAGAGUCUAAAAAACUAAGGAUUACUCAAAAAAAAAAAAAGUUAUAUUGGUUAUUCGUCUCAUUAGGGGUCAUUAAUUGUUGAGUGUAUCUUUGUUAGGAUUAACAUGUUAUAAGUAGUUCAACCACCAAAUUUUUCAAAAUGUGAAUGAAGAGUCAUGUGAAGUGAACGCACUUUUAUCUACUUCGGUUGUGUUAUUUAUUUUUAAAAUUAACAUAAAAUGUGUCAUUUAUUUUUUUAUUUAUUUUACUUCAGUAUAUUAGUUUUAAUUUUUGUUUCUAUGAAAGUAUACAUUUUUUAAAUGUUACAUGACAGAAAACACAAAAAUUAAGAAAGAUUGCAUUCAAGAGUAAGUUCAGGGAUAUUUAUUAAUUAUCUUGUUGGUUUAUUAUUAUUAUUAUGAUUAUUGCUAUUAUUAUUUUAUUUUUCCUUUUUUAACUUAUAUUUUUUUUUUCAUACAGAUAUAAUAAAACAUAUUUUGUACAUAAAAAAAAAACGUGGUUACAUUUUAUUACUAUAUUCAUUUUUAGCAUACAUGAUAUAUUUGAACUUAUGUAAUAACAUACCAAAAAUAAAAAUGUCUAUAUAAUUGAAAAAUAUAUAUUUUUGUCUUGAACAGAAUAAAAAGUAGAUAUAUAUGACACACGAAUACAUACAUAAAAUAACUUAUUAUAUUUGAUUUUUAAUCAUAUAUUUUUACUCAAUAUAAUGUACUUGUGUAAUACCUACACUUAUUAUUAAUUAAUGUAUUUGCUUGAGAAAUAAGUUUUUUUUUCUGUUCUUGUAUCAAAAAAUGUUGAUCAUACUUAUUGUGUACUCAUUUUAAGGGUAGACCCGUUAACAGGGAUGAAUUAUUGUUUUUAACCACAUGAAAUGUUAUUAUAUAUUUUAUGUUGUACAUUUUAAUAAGAUAUUUAUGUAAAACAAAACUAUAACUAUCAAGUAAUAUAAAGCAUAAUAAUAUAUAAAUAUAAAAAUGAUCGUUUAUUCUAGGCAGAUAGGCCUUAUAUUAUGAUAUUAUAAUAAUAUAUUUUUUUUUAACAUAAAUAAAUUGUCCAAUGUCUAAAAAUCAAAUUUACAAAAUAUUAUGUAUAGUGUUGAUAAUAAGCUUAUAAUUAAUACAGAAAAUAAAUUUAUAUAUACAUAAUAUAAAAAAUAUACAUGUGUUUAUUCAUAUAUAAUAUAUUAUAUAAUGUAAAAUAUAUGUUAAAUUAUUAUUGAAUUGUUUUAUUUCAAUUUUAUUACAGAAUGAGGUUUUCAAAAAAAUAUAUGUUAUAGUUUUA